GGGAGGGGGUGACUAGUGACAGAGUUAGGGAGGGAAGGGGUGACUAGUUACAGAGUGAGGAAGGGGGUGACAAGUGACAGAGGGAGGGGUGACUAGGGACAGAGGGAGGGAUGGUGUGACUAGUGACAGUCACCACCUCCUUCACUCUGUCACUGUGUCACCCCCUUCCUCACUCUGUCACUUUGUCACCCCCUUCCUCACUCUCACUAGUCACCCACUCCCUUCCUCACUCUGUCACUAGUCACCCACUCACUCUGUCACUAGUCACCCCCUAUCUC